rnacentral:rRNA from 1 species
UACGUAGGGGGCAAGCGUUGUCCGGAUUUAUUGGGCGUAAAGAGCGUGUAGGCGGCCUUGCAAGUCCGUUGUGAAAACUCGAGGCUCAACCUCGAGACGCCGGUGGAAACUGCAAAGCUAGAGUCCGGAAGAGGAGAGUGGAAUUCCUGGUGUAGCGGUGAAAUGCGCAGAUAUCAGGAGGAACACCCGUGGCGAAAGCGGCUCUCUGGGACGGUACUAACGCUGAGACGCGAAAGCGUGGGGAGCAAACAGG